rnacentral:lncRNA from 1 species
CUAACACUAUGCCCUCACACAUAUAACCCAUCUCAUGUCACAUUUACACAUAAGCCCCUCACAAUUUCACUUUUCACAUCAGCUCUCACUCGGCGUUUUUCACAUACUGGGACUGUCACGCCCCGGGUAUCACGUUUUCCGGGCACGCCGAUAAAUCCGCCGUAUACAAAGAAAUUUUCCCUAUAUACGAAGCGAUAACUGUACCUGUAAAAAUACAAUACUACAACCA